CAGUCCGGCGAUCGCUCACUCUGCUGAUGUUUGCCUUGGACAUUUUCGAAGGACUGUUAAAAGCCGACAAACGCAGACGUCCUUUGCUCAGCUCUUUACAAAAUGCCAGGCAAAAACAACUUCUGAGAGAGAACAUGAACUAAAGAGGGCAAAAAAAUGAUGAGGACACAGUUAAAAGUUAAAUGACCAUCAUUUUUAUUCUUUAUUCUUUGUUUUUUACAUUAUGAACAACUCUCAUUAAUGUGCAAUAAUCGAAUUGUAACAUUUAUGUCUGUGUUUUCAC